rnacentral:rRNA from 1 species
AGAGUUUGAUCCUGGCUCAGAACGAACGCUGGCGGCGUGCCUAACACAUGCAAGUCGAACGGAGAUAAGGGGCUUGCUCCUUAUUUUAGUGGCGCACGGGUGAGUAACGCGUGGAUAAUCUACCUUGGAAUCUGGGAUAACAUCUCGAAAGGGGUGCUAAUACCGGAUAAGACCACGAGCUCUUCGGAGUUUGCGGUAAAAGGGGGCCUCUGUAUAUGCUUCUGUUUCAAGAUGAGUCCGCGUACCAUUAGCUAGUUGGCAGGGUAAUGGCCUACCAAGGCGACGAUGGUUAGCUGGUCUGAGAGGAUGAUCAGCCACACUGGAACUGAGACACGGUCCAGACUCCUACGGGAGGCAGCAGUGGGGAAUUUUGCGCAAUGGGGGAAACCCUGACGCAGCAACGCCGCGUGAGUGAUGAAGGCCUUCGGGUCGUAAAGCUCUGUCAGAGGGAAAGAAGUGUAGGAGGGUUAAUACCCCUUUCACUUGACGGUACCCUCAAAGGAAGCACCGGCUAACUCCGUGCCAGCAGCCGCGGUAAUA